UAUACCAGGGGCUCUACAUACUACUACUACUACUACUACUAGUACUAUUGCUACUACUACUUCUACUACAUUUACAUUUUUGGCAUUUAGCAGAUGCUUUAUCCAAAAAGAAUUACAAUUUGUCAGAAGAAAGAGAAACAAUAUAUUGCUGUUGGCACAGUAAGGAUGUCUAUAGAACCAAGUGCCAAGCACUUACAAUUGCUAGAUUAACCAAUCCCUGUAUACAACAAAAAAAAUAACUAGGAUAAGAUGCUACAGGAUGUUAAGUACUAUUUUUAAGUGCAAGGACGUACAACAUACAAUAAGUUCUUAAGGGGGCAGGGGGGGUAGGGGGGUACUACUAGUACCCCUACUAAUAGUACUACCACUAUUACUACUACUACUACAUUACUACAAAUUGCACUGAUAUUCCAUGACUAGGCUAGUGUGACAUUCUUGCAAGUCUCUUUGGUUCUAUUUGUAUGCAUUUGGUUUCAUCCCUGCUUUCUAUUCAGCAUUACAUCCAAAGAAGAACCCAUGUUAAACAGUUUCUGUGACUUAAGGCUUAUUGAUAUGCAGCGCCAUGCCUGGAACCCUAGGGGGCACUGAGGGUAUAAAUAGGGGAGACGGUUUUCAUUUUUACACCUCUGGUUGUCAUGUUCGUUGGAAAGCUAUCCUGAGCGGCUUCUAAAGAACUUAAGGUGGACACGCCAACUUGUGAUGUCACUCAAACACGGGAAGAGGCUGAUUCUGAAGCCAUUUUGCCACACAUGUCCCAGGUCCUGCCCCUCUCCUUCCACACGACCCCUCAGAGGCCUGGUUGAUGUCGUCUUUCUCUGACUUCUUUGACAUUAUAUUUCCUUUUUUGUAUGGACUUUGUAUAC